GAGAGGAUGACCAGCCACACUGGAACUGAAACACGGUCCAGACUCCUACGGGAGGCAGCAGUGGGGAAUAUUGCGCAAUGGGGGAAACCCUGACGCAGCGACGCCGCGUGAGCGAAGAAGGCCCUCGGGUCGUAAAGCUCUGUCAGGAGGGAAGAAUGUGUUCGUGGUCAAUACCCACGGGCAUUGACGGUACCUCCGAAGGAAGCACCGGCUAACUCCGUGCCAGCAGCCGCGGUAAUACGGAGGGUGCAAGCGUUGUUCGGAAUUACUGGGCGUAAAGAGCGUGUAGGCGGUCCGUUAAGUCCGGUGUGAAAGCCCUGGGCUCAACCCAGGAAGUGCAUUGGAUACUGGCGGACUUGAGUACGGGAGAGGAGAGUGGAAUUCCUAGUGUAGAGGUGAAAUUCGUAGAUAUUAGGAAGAACACCGGCGGCGAAGGCGGCUCUCUGGCCCGAUACUGACGCUGAGACGCGAAAGCGUGGGGAGCAAACAGGAUUAGAUACAAUGGUAGUCCACGCCUUUUUCGGGGGGCACUAGGUGUGGGAGGUGUUGACCCCUUCCGUGCCGAAGCUAACGCAUUAAGUGCCCCGCCUGGGGAGUACGGUCGCAAGACUAAAACUUAAAUGAAUUGACGG
rnacentral:rRNA from 1 species